AUUGAACGCUGGCGGCAUGCUUUACACAUGCAAGUCGAGCGGCAGCGCGGGGGCAACCCUGGCGGCGAGCGGCGAACGGGUGAGUAAUGCAUCGGAACGUAUCCUCGAGUGGGGGAUAACCCAGCGAAAGUUGGGCUAAUACCGCAUGAGCUCUGAGGAGGAAAGCGGGGAACCUGCGAGGGCCUCGCGCUGGAGGAGCGGCCGAUGUCCGAUUAGCUAGUUGGUGGGGUAAAGGCUUACCAAGGCGACGAUCGGUAGCUGGUCUGAGAGGAUGAUCAGCCACACUGGGACUGAGACACGGCCCAGACUCCUACGGGAGGCAGCAGUGGGGAAUUUUGGACAAUGGGGGCAACCCUGAUCCAGCCAUGCCGCGUGAGUGAAGAAGGCCUUCGGGUUGUAAAGCUCUUUCGGACGGAACGAAAUGGGCGGGACUAAUACUCCGGUCUGAUGACGGUACCGUAAGAAGAAGCACCGGCUAACUACGUG
rnacentral:rRNA from 1 species